AUCGAAGCCCCAUUUCCGUAGGAGCGAAGUCGAAUGGCGCCCCCAGCGGCUUGGGGUGGGAUCUCAGUGCCUCAUUCCUGGCGGCCCCGGGAGGGCGAUGCCAAGUUUCGCUCUUGUUCCCUGGGCUGCAGUGCAGUGGCACCAUCUCGGCUCACCGCAACCUCCGCCUCCCAAGUUCAAGCGAUUCUCCUGCCUCAGCCUCCCCAGUAUCUGGGAUUACAGUAAAAUUAAAACAGGCACAAUGAUAUCCUGGAUGACAAGAGCUGGAGGCUGUCAUUCUAACAAUGUAGUGAGACUGGCUGUCUUGUCUCAUGCCCACCCCUGGAAACAUGCGCAGGAACUCAAAGCACCUAGCACAGAGGAAGUGUCUGGUUGUUUUAAAGGAAAAACAAAACCAAAAAAAGCACCUCCUGCUCUGACCACCCCUAUUUCCAGUUUUCCCUUUUGGCACAGCAAAGAUGACCUUGGGACUGAGGUGGAACCAUGUAAUUCUUCGUAAUCCCAGAGUCAGGCAGACCUGGGAGAUAACAUCCAUCUCGAAGGAAGAUCUGGCCUGAAGAGCAGUCACUCUUGCCUGGCAUGCAGAGAAUGCCAAAUCAUAUUAAUGACUGGCCAGAAUGAAGUGCGUGACCUCAUCACUCCAUAACUGACAGGAAACAACUGCUAGGGCAAGAAAAAAGGGUCUCCAGUGAGUAUUCUUGUCCACACACAUCCCCACUCACGUUCCUGGACCACUGCAUCUAACUGCCGCAGCAGCUAAUGAACCUUCUGGAAUAAAGGACCAGUUUCUUA
rnacentral:lncRNA from 1 species